rnacentral:rRNA from 1 species
CUUGGAGGCGACCGUGUCUAUGUUCCUUGGAACAGGACGUCACAGAGGGUGAGAAUCCCGUGCGGCACGGCCCCCGGCUCCUUAUAAGGCGCUCUCGACGAGUCGAGUUGUUUGGGAAUGCAGCUCAAAGUGGGUGGUAAAUUCCAUCUAAAGCUAAAUACAGGCGAGAGACCGAUAGCGAACAAGUACAGUGAUGGAAAGAUGAAAAGCACUUUGAAAAGAGAGUGAAACAGCACGUGAAAUUGUUGAAAGGGAAGGGCAUGCCGUCAGAUUGUCAGUGUGGGUAAGAAGCGGGGUACAAAGACUGUGGAACGUGGCCCUCGGGUGUUAUAGCCGCAGUUCAUGCCCCGUCUCUUUCCGAGGCCUGCUUUGAGGACACCGACGUAAUGACGGUACGCCGCCCGUCUUGAA